rnacentral:tRNA from 1 species
GCCUUCUUGGCUCAGGGGUAGAGCGCUUCACUCGUACUUUCGAAUGAUGAAGCGGUCACUGGUUCGAAUCCAGUAGGAGGCA